rnacentral:tRNA from 1 species
GGUUGUUGCUCAGUGGUACAGUGCUUGCUUAGCAUGUGUGAGGCACUGGGUUCGAUUCUCAGCACCA